rnacentral:rRNA from 1 species
AUUGAACGCUGGCGGCAUGCUUUACACAUGCAAGUCGAACGGCAGCGCGGGCUUCGGCCUGGCGGCGAGUGGCGAACGGGUGAGUAAUACAUCGGAACGUGCCCAGUAGUGGGGGAUAGCUCGGCGAAAGCCGGAUUAAUACCGCAUACGACCUGAGGGUGAAAGCGGGGGAUCUUCGGACCUCGCGCUAUUGGAGCGGCCGAUGGCAGAUUAGCUAGUUGGUGGGGUAAAGGCCUACCAAGGCGACGAUCUGUAGCUGGUCUGAGAGGACGACCAGCCACACUGGGACUGAGACACGGCCCAGACUCCUACGGGAGGCAGCAGUGGGGAAUUUUGGACAAUGGGCGAAAGCCUGAUCCAGCAAUGCCGCGUGUGUGAUGAAGGCCUUCGGGUUGUAAAGCAUUUUUGGCGGGAACGAAAAGGACUGUGCCAAUACCACGGUUCGAUGACGGUACCCGCAGAAUAAGCACCGGCUAACUACGUG